GACGAACGCUGGCGGCACGCCUAACACAUGCAAGUCGAACGGAGAUAUUUGGAUUUAUUCGAAUAUCUUAGUGGCGGACGGGUGAGUAACACGUGAGCAACCUGCCUUUGAGAGAGGGAUAGCUUUUGGAAACGAAUGGUAAUACCUCAUAACGUAUAUUUGAGGCAUCUCAGAUAUACCAAAGAUUUAUCACUCAAAGAUGGGCUCGCGUCUGAUUAGCUAGAUGGUGAGGUAACGGCUCACCAUGGCGACGAUCAGUACGCCGGACUGAGAGGUUGAACGGUCACAUUGGGACUGAGACACGGCCCAG
rnacentral:rRNA from 1 species